GGAAAGGAGAGCUAUCUGGCUGUCACAUCUAUCACCUGAUUGCCAGGUUGGUUCAGCUGAUCUGGCUGGCUAAGCCAGAGUCCCCUUCUUCCAUCUCUCCUCCAUGUGCCUCUCUCCUGAAGUGCACACUUGAUAGAAGACGGCAAGUUUUUAGUUUAUUUUUUGUUAAUAUUACACAAGAGUGUUGUUAUUAGGACAGACAAUCAUGCUGGUCAGGGUUUAGAGAGAUGAUCUUAUCUUAAGGUUUUUAUCAUUUGCUCAUUCUCUUAGGAUGCAAUGCCAAAGACAGCUCUGUGGGCUCCCAAAAUGGGUUGCAACUGUUUCAGUACCUAAAAUCAGCUUCAGUCUUGUCAACAUAAAGACCAGUGACUGUUAAG
rnacentral:sRNA from 1 species